rnacentral:rRNA from 1 species
UACAGAGGUCUCAAGCGUUGUUCGGAUUCAUUGGGCGUAAAGGGUGCGUAGGUGGCGCCGUAAGUCGGGUGUGAAAUUUCGGAGCUUAACUCCGAAACUGCAUUCGAUACUGCGGUGCUUGAGGACUGGAGAGGAGACUGGAAUUCAUGGUGUAGCAGUGAAAUGCGUAGAGAUCAUGAGGAAGACCAGUGGCGAAGGCGGGUCCCUGGACAGUUCCUGACACUGAGGCACGAAGGCCAGGGGAGCAAACGG